rnacentral:rRNA from 1 species
CUCCAGACUCCUACGGGAGGCAGCAGUGAGGAAUAUUGGUCAAUGGCCGCAGGGCUGAACCAGCCAAGUCGCGUGAGGGAUGACGGUCCUAUGGAUUGUAAACCUCUUUUGUCAGGGAGCAAAGGGCGCCACGUGUGGCGCUUUGCGAGUACCUGAAGAAAAAGCAUCGGCUAACUCCGUGCCAGCAGCCGCGGCAAUACGGAGGAUGCGAGCGUUAUCCGGAUUUAUUGGGUUUAAAGGGUGCGCAGGCGGAAUGUCAAGUCAGCGGUAAAAUUUCGGGGCUCAACCCCGUCGUGCCGUUGAAACUGGCGUUCUUGAGUGAGCGAGAAGUAUGCGGAAUGCGUGGUGUAGCGGUGAAAUGCAUAGAUAUCACGCAGAACUCCGAUUGCGAAGGCAAGUGUCCGGGGUGCAACUGACGCUGAGGCUCGAAAGUGCGGGUAUCAAACAGGAUUAGAUACCCGAGUA